AAUCAACGCUGGCGGCGUGCCUCAGACAUGCAAGUCGAACGAUUAAAGCUCUCUUCGGAGAGUGCAUAAAGUGGCGCACGGGUGAGUAACACGUAAGUAAUCUACCUUCGAGUGGGGAAUAACGUCCGGAACGGACGCUAAUACCGCAUAACGCAGCGGCAUCGCAAGAUGACAGUUGUUAAAGAUUUAUCGCUUGAAGAGGAGCUUGCGGCAGAUAGCUUGUUGGUAAGGUAACGGCUUACCAAGGCUACGAUCUGUAUCCGGUCUAAGAGGACGGUCGGACACACUGACACUGAAUAACGGGUCAGACUCCUACGGAGGCAGCAGUCGGGAAUUUUGGGCAAUGGGGG
rnacentral:rRNA from 1 species